CCAAAAUCCAUGUCAGGACUGAUACAGCUUUAAAACAGUGUGCUUUAAAUUAUGGAGGAACCAGUAGAAAUUGCUUCUGGUUCUAGGGAGAAACUGUUUGUCUGUGCUAGAAAGAUACAUGAAUUUGUCCUGCAGUGAAUAGAGAAGCAUAGGAGAUGGAGGAUAGGACUGGCCCUGAACAGAUAUGCUUCAAGAAAGAGGGUUAUUUUGGUUGUAACCUUCAUAAAAAUUCCAGCUGGGAAAGGUGUGGAAAUAGGAAUCACAGUUGUUUAAGUCUUUUAAAGUUCCUGUCUUCUAAAGCAGCUUCCCAUGUCCGACCUGCCUCACUGGCUGUUGUGACACCUGGCUACUGAUACAUGAAGAGGAUUGAUGAUUAGGAGAAAAGCAUCUCUUUGUAUUGAUUUGAGAUUGCUGUCACCUGUUAAAAUAGAGAAAUUAAAAAACAGUGAAACGUUAAAGAUUGCAGAUUGCCAGGCUGGCAGUUGUCCUCUGUAAUUUAGUGUGGAAGGGGCUACUGAUCCAAAUAGAUUUACAGGGGAAAAAGAUGUCAAGUGCACUGUUACAGCGAACAGACUUCAGAGUUCAUCUCAACUCCAUGCUCUGUGACUGUCGGCAAUAACGUCACUGUUUUGAAGUUGCUGUUCUGGUUAUUCCUAAGAAUUACCUGUUUUGGCAUUUUAGGUCUGUUCAGAAUUGCUAAGAAACUAUAAGUUUAAAACUUGAUUAUUUAUAUACUGUCUACUGGCAAGGUAAGUGGAAAGCAUGUGCUUGAUUUAUUUAUUUAUUCCUUUUUCCGAUUAUUUUUAAUAACAGGAUUUUUAAUGGGAUAAAUUACAAUAUGAAAAUGCUUCACACUGGAAUGAUAUCUUUCAACCCUCAAAAUUCUAUGCAGUCUAUUUUGGAAUGUCAGCUUAUAAUGAUGUGAAGAUGAGUUGCUUUAUUGGGGGAAAAAAAAAAAAAAAAAAAAGAGUUUAGAUCUCUGUUGCUCCAUUCCAUGGACAACAUAAUUGGGAUUAUUCUGAUUAAAGAGCAGCUAUGUCAGAAAGGGGGAUUUUGUUGAUGCUUAGGAAAAUAAAUAAAAUGUGGGACAUCUGACACAGCUCUGUUGAAAAUAAUUGCACCGGUGAUUUCACUGCUCUUCAUUGGCUCAGCUAGACAAUUGUAAAUUAUAACUUUAAUUUCAUUUCAUACAGACAGAAGAAAAAUAAUGAAAAGGUGAAGCAAUUUCUUUGAAUUCACAGUAAACCAGUAGCUUUCCUAAGCUAAACCUGUGGAGGAAUGGACGGAGGCCCUCCUGUCUUUUCAGAUGAGUUCUUCAUUCCUCAGAUCAUUCUAAUAUCUUUGUUAUAUCCCUUGUAAGCUCACCUUUACACAGCCUGAGUUGCAGAUGAUGGGAUGUAUCACCCAUGUUCUCUGUCACUUUAUCUCCUGGAAGGUGACAUCUUCAUGGCUGAUGAAGUUAAGGCUUAGUGUCAUCCUAUAAUCUGCUAAUAAGGCAGACCUUCCUUGAGCUAGUGUUCACAGAUCUUUAUCACUUUGUCAUUUUUAACUGAUAAAGUCUCAUUUUGCAGCAGAAGUAUGUACUGUUGAUCAGCAUCUGCUUAACUUCUACUUUACUCCCCAAAUCUAUAAUCCCAUUCCUCAAGGCUGUGUAAUUUUACACAGUCCGAUUAGCACAUUGAUUGCUGUCAGCACUGACAGUGCCUCAGCAGAUCUCAGAUGUACUCUUAUUUUGUGCUGGUGGAGUAAAUAUAGAUUAUUAAAAAUAUAAUACACAUUAUAACUAGGUCAUUACAAAAACAGUCCUUGACAAGCUCAGUUUCAACCACUCCUCUCAUCUGAUACUUCCCCUUUGAUGCCUCACAUUUUGCUAUUCUUCAUAUUACUUUUAUUUUUAGCUAAUUCCCAUAUUAUUAGCAUGUUAUUUUAAACCAUCAUGUAGGUUCACAUCGAAUGCUCCAUGAAAUUCAGAUGCAGAUGAAUUACUGCAUUUGCUUCAAUUAAUGUGUCGAAAACAGAUUUAAGUUCAUUUGAUUUUAUCUCUUUCCAUUCAGUUCUGUUGCCCUUCUAUUUGCCAUUUACCUUCAUGUUUUUAAUUAUUCUUUCAGAAUCGUGGAUCAAAGUCAAACUAAUAGACCAAGGACAACCACAACUGGAGGGACUGGCCUCUUAUCCCAGCACAGUAGAGUUUCAAAGAGGAACCUGACAGAUGUUUGCUACUGCUGGGCUGAGCUGUGAUGCUGGAGAUUUCAAGAAGAUGCACCACGGUAAUUGAGUGAGCUUCUCAUUGAAAGGCAAUGCUGGGGAAAGCAUCCUCCCCAAGUGCUUCAGAAACCUUCUUUGUUUGGCCUCAUGUCAGAAGAAGUUGUAUAGAGUGGAUGUAAAAAGGCCUGGGACCAAUUGCACAGCUCAUACAGUAAAGAUGAAAGCAGCCUGCUCUUUCUGGUACAUCCCUGCUUUGAUCUACAUAGCAUGGAGAACAGAGACCUUGCCCAACAUAAUGCUGCAGGCUCCUGGCAUGUUGCAAGUCUUUGGGAGACCAAGAGGAGGAUGAACAGACUGAGAAGCAUGCAAAUACAGUAUAACAGAUUUGCAGCACGGACUGAACACAAGAUGCUGGAGCCAUAUGGAAAAGGCAGUCAGCCAGCCAAAAAGCAUGAGGAAAAAUUAUAACCUUUCAAAUUGUUGCAAAGCACUCUAUGUUACCUGCUGUAUGGGAAAUAACAGCUUGAACCACUGAUUAAUCAGCUGAGGCAAGAGUUGAGUCAGCUGCAGGAGCACAGGUGAGAGUAAUCUAGCUGUGCUCCCAGAAGGGGUGGACUUCGACUCUACCUCCUCUGAGACCUCAUUUAAGGGCUGACCACCACUGAGGCAGCAUCUCUUGGAGAUCACUCCCCAGUGGAGACUACCUCAGCUUUCUGGUCAAGGCAUCGACAUUGAACCAGAUACCUUGGAAGCUGCCACAUCCCAUGAGCUCCCAAUCGUCAGAAGCACUAUUGAAAUCAUUCAAAGGGAAAAGAAGAGUGACCUUAAUAGUGCUGAAGGAUGCUUUGCAGCAGAUGCACCGAUAUUCAAUACCGGUGAGGUUCUUCCUUCCCCAGAGGCAACAGAACUUACCUGAGGAGCCAAUGCUCAGAACUCCAGAGUUUCCAUGGAGAAUCUUUGGCUUCAGAUCAAAUACAAGCACUCUUCUGUCUUGAAAAGAACAAAUUCUCAACUAAAUAAACCCAACUUCACACUUGAAAUAAGUGCCAGGACUGAGAGAACAAAGAUUAUCACCUUCAUUUUCAGAUAUGGGUGUAUCUACAUAUGCCAGAAUAGCAAGCAGUUGGUUACAGGAAAGCGUAGUAAAUGUUCAUCAAACUAAUUCAUAAAUACCUUUGCAAAAAUAUUAAAAUACUGAAUUUAAAGUAAUAUAUAUAUAUAUUUUUCUCAAUAACCUGGAGAAUAUAUUCCAUCUGAUGUAUAGGUACAACUGAUUUUGCAGAAUAACUUAAGCUUCAAUAUGACCUACGGUUUUCAUAGAUUCUGUGAGUCCCAACAGCAGAAAAACAAGAGAAAAAUCAAGAACAUCAGAUAAGCUCUAGCAAGCAGAAAAGAGAUUUAGAAAAUCACAAUCCAGAAGUCUCCAUCAAUAUGAGACAGUAAAAAGUCGUUCCCCUAUUAAAAAAAAAACAAACAGGACUUGCAAAACUUCAUCUUAAAAAACUCUUUUCUUGUUCUUUCUUUAUGGCCUUAUGAUAAUACUCAACAUAUGUGCCGUGUACAAAGCAAAGUCAUGCUAUGCGGUGACACCAGGAUCCAGACAAGUUGUCCUUGCAUAUUAAAAACAGUUAAACAUUACUAAUGAAACAAGAGAAAUACUAAACAUUAAAAGACAGAGACUUUUCAGGGCACCAUAAAACCAUACCUUUCAGUCAAAUUAAUUAGUUGCGCCAUAAAAAAAUGCUAAGUUGAAGAAAAUUAUCCAGAAGAAAAAAAAACAAAAAACAAAAACAACAACAACAACAACAAAAACCAAGUAGAAAGCUUCAGGUGAUCUCUGUUUUUGUUAAAAAAAAAUAUAUAUUUUUUUUUCAUUAAAUACGCAGAACUUUGCAACUUAAAUUCUGUAAGUUAUCUUCCAGAAGUUACUUGCUUUCUAAUUUCACACACACGCACAAAAUGAAAAUAGGUAGAAAAGCAUCUGGAGCAUAUCCAGAAAGAAAGGAAAUUAUGGCUAUUCUCAUGUAUGCUGCAUAGCACGUCAGGAGUUUUCACACACCUUCCCAAAGAGACCUCAAAUUAAGACAACAAACGUGAUUUCAGUGAUUGGAAGUAACAUUCUGCAAAUCCAAACUGGCUGCCUCGUUUAUUUCAUAGAUCCAUUUUCUACUGCUGGAACUCACCUUGGGAAAUAAACGGAUGUAUGGGAAGGCUCACCCUCUGAACAGAUACAGUUUCACUUGUCAGGAUCUUCCUUUGCCUUGAAUGGAAAACAUUUCACUUCCUUGAGAUGUUGCAGAAGCUAGAUCUGGAUGCAAGAGAUGUAAUGAGUAGCCCUGCAAUAAGAAUGUAUGGAGUAUUCUAGCUAUGUGGCCACCUCGAGGAACUUUAGAUCUAAGUCUGAGACCAGAUGGAAGAAAGGAACAUGCACUAUACAAAAUACUUUUUCAUCUGAAGAGUAAAUUAUUACUCAGUGGCAUUAUAAGUUGUAAAUAAAUUUUCUUUAUCUGAAACUAUAAUAUUUAUGUUUCUAAUUUACAGGUGACAAAGUAGCAUAUACUAAAAUCAGAGUGUAACCAGCAAAACUAUCAAUUACUAUAAACAAUACCAAAACACAACUCAAAUAUACUUCAAGGAAACAAUGGAUACAUUUUGGACUGGAAAGGAUUUCAACUGUGGAUGUUGUUUUAAAUACAGCUGUUAAUUGUGUCUCAAAAAAAAAUUCUUCAAUGUUUUCUGCUUAAGGAAUCUUGACUAUAUACAUAAAGACCAGGAAUACACUACCAAAUAAUCCCUCAGUGGUUACUAGUGGGUAGUAGUAAUAGUAGAUGCCGAAAUUGGAAAAUCAUUUUCAAUAUCAGUGUACGUACUGCAAUAGACAAUAUAUCCCUUUGGAGCAGAAACUAGAGAAAAUAUCGUGCCCUUUAUUAUCACUGUGGUUUCUUGUGGGUAAUAGACAGCAGAAGAAUUGCACUUGUCAUAACAUUACAGUGAAGUGUUAGAUUGCAGCUCACCUUUUAAAAAUAUUAGUGGCCAUAAUACUUACGAUAGGUUGUGCAUUAUGCAAAGAUGAAUAAAGAUGUGCAUUUAAAUUAAAAA